rnacentral:rRNA from 1 species
AAAUUGAAGAGUUUGAUCAUGGCUCAGAUUGAACGCUGGCGGCAGGCCUAACACAUGCAAGUCGAACGGUAACAGGAAGCAGCUUGCUGCUUUGCUGACGAGUGGCGGACGGGUGAGUAAUGUCUGGGAAACUGCCUGAUGGAGGGGGAUAACUACUGGAAACGGUGGCUAAUACCGCAUAACGUCGCAAGACCAAAGAGGGGGACCUUCGGGCCUCUUGCCAUCAGAUGUGCCCAGAUGGGAUUAGCUUGUUGGUGAGGUAACGGCUCACCAAGGCGACGAUCCCUAGCUGGUCUGAGAGGAUGACCAGCCACACUGGAACUGAGACACGGUCCAGACUCCUACGGGAGGCAGCAGUGGGGAAUAUUGCACAAUGGGCGCAAGCCUGAUGCAGCCAUGCCGCGUGUAUGAAGAAGGCCUUCGGGUUGUAAAGUACUUUCAGCGGGGAGGAAGGUGUUGUGGUUAAUAACCGCAGCAAUUGACGUUACCCGCAGAAGAAGCACCGGCUAACUCCGUGCCAGCAGCCGCGGUAAUACGGAGGGUGCAAGCGUUAAUCGGAAUUACUGGGCGUAAAGCGCACGCAGGCGGUCUGUCAAGUCGGAUGUGAAAUCCCCGGGCUCAACCUGGGAACUGCAUUCGAAACUGGCAGGCUUGAGUCUUGUAGAGGGGGGUAGAAUUCCAGGUGUAGCGGUGAAAUGCGUAGAGAUCUGGAGGAAUACCGGUGGCGAAGGCGGCCCCCUGGACAAAGACUGACGCUCAGGUGCGAAAGCGUGGGGAGCAAACAGGAUUAGAUACCCUGGUAGUCCACGCCGUAAACGAUGUCUACUUGGAGGUUGUGCCCUUGAGGCGUGGCUUCCGGAGCUAACGCGUUAAGUAGACCGCCUGGGGAGUACGGCCGCAAGGUUAAAACUCAAAUGAAUUGACGGGGGCCCGCACAAGCGGUGGAGCAUGUGGUUUAAUUCGAUGCAACGCGAAGAACCUUACCUGGUCUUGACAUCCACGGAAGUUUUCAGAGAUGAGAAUGGUGCCUUCGGGAACCGUGAGACAGGUGCUGCAUGGCUGUCGUCAGCUCGUGUUGUGAAAUGUUGGGUUAAGUCCCGCAACGAGCGCAACCCUUAUCCUUUGUUGCCAGCGGUCCGGCCGGGAACUCAAAGGAGACUGCCAGUGAUAAACUGGAGGAAGGUGGGGAUGACGUCAAGUCAUCAUGGCCCUUACGACCAGGGCUACACACGUGCUACAAUGGCGCAUACAAAGAGAAGCGACCUCGCGAGAGCAAGCGGACCUCAUAAAGUGCGUCGUAGUCCGGAUUGGAGUCUGCAACUCGACUCCAUGAAGUCGGAAUCGCUAGUAAUCGUGGAUCAGAAUGCCACGGUGAAUACGUUCCCGGGCCUUGUACACACCGCCCGUCACACCAUGGGAGUGGGUUGCAAAAGAAGUAGGUAGCUUAACCUUCGGGAGGGCGCUUACCACUUUGUGAUUCAUGACUGGGGUGAAGUCGUAACAAGGUAACCGUAGGGGAACCUGCGGUUGGAUCACCUCCUUACCUU